GACGAAGAACGCAGCGAAAUGCGAUACGUAAUGUGAAUUGCAGAAUUCAGUGAAUCAUCGAAUCUUUGAACGCAUAUUGCGCUCUCUGGUAUUCCGGAGAGCAUGCUUGUUUGAGUAUCAGUAAACACCUCAACUUCCAUAUCUUUUUUGAAAUGGGAGUUGGACUUGAGUGAUCCCAACGCUUUUCCUCACCGAAAAGUGGCGGGUUACUUGAAAUGCAGGUGCAGCUGGACUUUUCUCUGAGCUAUAAGCAUAUCUAUUUAGUCUGCCUAAAAAACAGAUUAUUACCUUUGCUGCAGCUAACAUAAAGGAGAUUAGUUCUUGUGCUGACUGAUGCAGGAUUCACAAAGACAGGCUUCGGCCGACUUUGUAAACUCGAUCUCAAAUCAAGUAAGACUACCCGCUGAACUUAAGCAUAUCAAUAAGCGGAGGA
rnacentral:misc_RNA from 1 species